ensembl:misc_RNA Metazoa_SRP Metazoan signal recognition particle RNA
GCUGGGCAUGGUAGCGGGUGCCUGUAAUCCCAGCUAUUCAGGAGGCUGAGGCAGGUGAAUCGCUUGAACCCGGGAGGCAGAGGUUGCAGUGAGCUGAGAUCAUGCCACUGAACUCCAGCCUGGGUGACACAGCGAGAGUCCGUCUCAA